AUUGAACGCUGGCGGCAUGCCUUACACAUGCAAGUCGAACGGCAGCGCGGGAGCAAUCCUGGCGGCGAGUGGCGAACGGGUGAGUAAUAUAUCGGAACGUGCCCAGUAGUGGGGGAUAGCCCGGCGAAAGCCGGAUUAAUACCGCAUACGACCUGAGGGUGAAAGGGGGGGAUCGCAAGACCUCUCGCUAUUGGAGCGGCCGAUAUCAGAUUAGGUAGUUGGUGGGGUAAAGGCCUACCAAGCCUGCGAUCUGUAGUUGGUCUGAGAGGACGACCAGCCACACUGGGACUGAGACACGGCCCAGACUCCUACGGGAGGCAGCAGUGGGGAAUUUUGGACAAUGGGCGCAAGCCUGAUCCAGCAAUGCCGCGUGCAGGAAGAAGGCCUUCGGGUUGUAAACUGCUUUUGUCAGGGAAGAAAUCCUCUAGGCUAAUACCUUGGGGGGAUGACGGUACCUGAAGAAUAAGCACCGGCUAACUACGUGCCAGCCGCCGCCGUAACAC
rnacentral:rRNA from 1 species